GUUGUAUAGUCAAGUAAUUAAGUGCAUGUGGUGGAUGCCUUGGCAGUCAGAGGCGAUGAAAGACGUGAUAGCCUGCGAAAAGCUCCGGGGAGGCGGCAAAUAUCCUUUGAUCCGGAGAUGUCUGAAUGGGGGAACCCACCUACUUUAAGGUAGGUAUUGCAACAUGAAUACAUAGUGUUGCAAGGCGAACGAGGGGAAGUGAAACAUCUCAGUACCCUUAGGAAAAGAAAUCAAUUGAGAUUCCCUCAGUAGCGGCGAGCGAACGGGGAUCAGCCCAUUAAGUUAUGUGUGUUUUAGUGGAACGCUCUGGGAAGUGCGAACGUAGAGGGUGAUAUUCCCGUACACGAAAGGGCACACAUAAUGAUGACGAGUAGGGCGAGGCACGUGAAACCUUGUCUGAAUAUGGGGGGACCAUCCUCCAAGGCUAAAUACUCCUGACUGACCGAUAGUGAACCAGUACCGUGAGGGAAAGGCGAAAAGAACCCCUGUGAGGGGGAGUGAAAUAGAUCCUGAAACCGCAUGCAUACAAGCAGUGGGAGCACCUUCGUGGUGUGACUGCGUACCUUUUGUAUAAUGGGUCAGCGACUUAUAUUCAGUAGCGAGGUUAACCGUAUAGGGGAGCCGUAGAGAAAUCGAGUCUUAAUAGGGCGUUUAGUUGCUGGGUAUAGACCCGAAACCAGGCGAUCUAUCCAUGAGCAGGUUGAAGGUUGGGUAACACUAACUGGAGGACCGAACCCACUGUCGUUGAAAAGCCAGGGGAUGACUUGUGGAUAGGGGUGAAAGGCUAAUCAAGCCUGGUGAUAGCUGGUUCUCCCCGAAAGCUAUUUAGGUAGCGCCUCGGACGAAUACCAUAGGGGGUAGAGCACUGUUUCGGCUAGGGGGUCAUCCCGACUUACCAAACCGAUGCAAACUCCGAAUACCUAUGAGUACUAUCCGGGAGACAGACUGCGGGUGCUAACGUCCGUAGUCAAGAGGAAAACAAUCCAGACCGCCAGCUAAGGCCCCAAAAUCAUAGUUAAGUGGGAAACGAUGUGGGAAGGCAUAGACAGCUAGGAGGUUGGCUUAGAAGCAGCCACCCUUUAAAGAAAGCGUAAUAGCUCACUAGUCGAGUCGGCCUGCGCGGAAGAUGUAACGGGGCUAAAACUAUGUGCCGAAGCUGCGGAUGUAUACUUUGUAUACGUGGUAGGGGAGCGUUCUGUAAGCCGAUGAAGGUGUGUUGAGAAGCAUGCUGGAGGUAUCAGAAGUGCGAAUGCUGACGUGAGUAACGACAAAACGGGUGAAAAACCCGUUCGCCGAAAGACCAAGGGUUCCAGUCCAACGUUAAUCGGGGCUGGGUGAGUCGACCCCCUAAGGCGAGGCCGAAAGGCGUAGUCGAUGGGAAAAUGGUUAAUAUUCCAUUACUUCUGUGUAAUGCGAUGAGAGGACGGAGAAGGCUAAAUCAGCCUGGCGUUGGUUGUCCAGGUGAAAGGAUGUAGGCAUGUAUCUUAGGCAAAUCCGGGGUACUCUAUGCUGAGAUCUGAUAGCAAGCUGUACUUGUACAGCGAAGUGGUUGAUGCCAUGCUUCCAGGAAAAGUCUCUAAGCUUCAGUUACACAGGAAUCGUACCCGAAACCGACACAGGUGGUCAGGUCGAGUAGACCAAGGCGCUUGAGAGAACUCUGCUGAAGGAACUAGGCAAAAUGGUACCGUAACUUCGGGAGAAGGUACGCUGUUGUUGGUGAUGGAACUCGCUUCCUGAGCUGACGACAGCCGCAGAAACCAGGCCGCUGCAACUGUUUAUUAAAAACAUAGCACUCUGCAAACACGAAAGUGGACGUAUAGGGUGUGAUGCCUGCCCGGUGCUGGAAGGUUAAUUGAUGGGGUUAGCGUAAGCGAAGCUCUUGAUCGAAGCCCCAGUAAACGGCGGCCGUAACUAUAACGGUCCUAAGGUAGCGAAAUUCCUUGUCGGGUAAGUUCCGACCUGCACGAAUGGCAUAAUGAUGGCGGCGCUGUCUCCAGCAGAGGCUCAGUGAAAUCGAAAUCGCUGUGAAGAUGCAGUGUACCCGCGGCUAGACGGAAAGACCCCGUGAACCUUUACUGCAGCUUGACACUGAACUUUGACCUUACUUGUGUAGGAUAGGUGGGAGGCUUUGAAGCUGGAACGCUAGUUCCAGUGGAGCCGUCCUUGAAAUACCACCCUGGUAAUGUUGAGGUUCUAACUCUGUCCCGUGAUCCGGGACGAGGACCGUGUCUGGUGGGUAGUUUGACUGGGGCGGUCUCCUCCUAAAGAGUAACGGAGGAGUACGAAGGUGCGCUCAGCGUGGUCGGAAAUCACGCGUAGAGUAUAAAGGCAAAAGCGCGCUUAACUGCGAGACCCACAAGUCGAGCAGGUACGAAAAGUAGGUCUUAGUGAUCCGGUGGUUCUGUAUGGAAGGGCCAUCGCUCAACGGAUAAAAGGUACUCUGGGGAUAACAGGCUGAUACCGCCCAAGAGUUCAUAUCGACGGCGGUGUUUGGCACCUCGAUGUCGGCUCAUCUCAUCCUGGGGCUGAAGCAGGUCCCAAGGGUAUGGCUGUUCGCCAUUUAAAGAGGUACGCGAGCUGGGUUUAGAACGUCGUGAGACAGUUCGGUCCCUAUCUACCGUGGGCGCUGGAAAUUUGAGAGGAUCUGCUCCUAGUACGAGAGGACCAGAGUGGACGAACCUCUGGUGUACCGGUUGUGACGCCAGUCGCAUCGCCGGGUAGCUAUGUUCGGAAGGGAUAACCGCUGAAAGCAUCUAAGCGGGAAGCCUACCUCAAGAUAAGAUUUCCCUAGGACUUUAUGUCCUCUAAAGAGCCGUUCGAGACUAGGACGUUGAUAGGUUGGAUGUGGAAGCAUAGUGAUAUGUGAAGCUGACCAAUACUAAUUGCUCGUGAGGCUUGACUAUACAACACCCAAGCAGUUG
rnacentral:rRNA from 1 species